UGGCGGGACGGGGUGGAGUAAUGUCUGGGAAACUGCCCGAUGGAGGGGGGUAACUACUGGAAACGGUAGCUAAUACCGCAUAACGUCGCAAGACCAAAGAGGGGGACCUUCGGGCCUCUUGCCAUCGGAUGUGCCCAGAUGGGAUUAGCUAGUAGGUGGGGUAACGGCUCACCUAGGCGACGAUCCCUAGCUGGUCUGAGAGGAUGACCAGCCACACUGGAACCGAGACACGGUCCAG
rnacentral:rRNA from 1 species